UUUCCAGACUCCUACGGGAGGCAGCAGUGGGGAAUUUUGGACAAUGGGCGCAAGCCUGAUCCAGCCAUUCCGCGUGUGGGAUGACGGCCCUCGGGUUGUAAACCACUUUAGUAGAGAACGAAAAGGAGCUAUCGAAUAAAUAGCUCUGCUGACGGUACUCUAAGAAUAAGCACCGGCUAACUCCGUGCCAGCAGCCGCGGUAAUACGGAGGAUGCGAGCGUUAUCCGGAUUUAUUGGGUUUAAAGGGUGCGUAGGCGGAAUAUCAAGUCAGCGGUAAAAAUUCGGGGCUCAACCCCGUCGUGCCGUUGAAACUGAUGUUCUUAAGUGGGCGAGAAGUAUGCGGAAUGCGUGGUGUAGCGGUGAAAUGCAUAGAUAUCACGCAGAACUCCGAUUGCGAAGGCAGCAUACCGGCGCCCAACUGACGCUGAAGCACGAAAGCGUGGGUAUCGAACAGGAUUAGAUACCCCGGUAA
rnacentral:rRNA from 1 species